rnacentral:rRNA from 1 species
CACCGCCGAACAACCAGCCCUGAAAAUGGAUGGCGCUGGAGCGUCCCACUUAAUCCGGACCGCUUGGGCAGUUGUGUCCUUCUCGCGGAGGAAAGCCAAGCUCAAGCGAGUAGGAGGGCCGCUGUGGUGAGCGUCGAAGCCUGGGACGCGAGUCUGGGUGGAGCCGCCACAGGCGCAGAUCUUGGUGGUAGUAGCAAAUAUUCAAACGAGAACUUUGAAGGCCGAGAAGGAA